rnacentral:lncRNA from 1 species
GUCUUGCUCCUUAUGUAGGAGUUUACUAGGGCUGCACCUGGGAUUGGCUUUCUCUGCCAGGCCUUUUCUAUUAUCUAAUUCAGCUGUAAGGAAAUUUAGAGGAAGAGUCAUUAAAGAAGUAUUUUUAAAAUGGCCAUAUACCAGCUGGGAAACAUUGAGAACCUGUUUGCAUUUCUCAUCUCCUCUUCCGUGGACAUCAUGAAUUCCAAGCCAAGCUUCAUAAUCUUUCAAGUCUCUGUUUUGA